rnacentral:rRNA from 1 species
GAUGAGCGCUGGCGGCGUGCCUAAUACAUGCAAGUCGAGCGAACAGACGAGAGUGCUUGCACUCUCUGACGUUAGCGGCGGACGGGUGAGUAACACGUGGGUAACCUACCUAUAAGACUGGGAUAACUUCGGGAAGCCGGAGCUAAUACCGGAUAAUAUUUAGCUUCGCAUGAAGCAAUAGUGAAAGACGGUUCUGCUGUCACUUAUAGAUGGACCCGCGGUGUAUUAGCUAGUUGGUGAGGUAACGGCUCACCAAGGCAACGAUACAUAGCCGACCUGAGAGGGUGAUCGGCCACACUGGGACUGAGACACGGCCCAGACUCCUACGGGAGGCAGCAGUAGGGAAUCUUCCGCAAUGGACGAAAGUCUGACGGAGCAAUGCCGCGUGAGUGAAGAAGGUUUUCGGAUCGUAAAACUCUGUUGUAAGGGAAGAACAAGUACGUUAGUAACUGAACGUACCUUGACGGUACCUUACCAGAAAGCCACGGCUAACUACGUG